CAGAAUGCAGAGUCAUGAAGAGAUAGGGAGACACUACAGUGCAGAGUCAUGGAGAGAUAGGGAGACACUAGAGUGCAGAGUCAUGGAGAGAUAGGGAGACACUAGAAUGCAGAGUCAUGGAGAGAUAGGGAGACACUAGAGUGCAGAGUCAUGGAGAGAUAGGGAAACACUAGAAUGCAGAGUCAUGGAGAGAUAGGGAGACACUAGAGUGCAGAGUCAUGGAGAGAUAGGGAGACACUAGAGUGCAGAGUCAUGGAGAGAUAGGGAGACACUAGAGUGCAGAGUCAUGGAGAGAUAGGGAGACACUAGAGUGCAGAGUCAUGGAGAGAUAGGGAGACACUAGAGUGCAGAGUCAUGGAGAGAUAGGGAGACACUAGGUGCAGAGUCAUGGAGAGAUAGGGAGACACUAGAGUGCAGAGUCAUGGAGAGAUAGGGAGACACUAGAGUGCAGAGUCAUGGAGAGAUAGGGAGACACUAGAAUCCAGAGUCAUGGAGAGAUAGGGAGACACUAGAGUGCAGAGUCAUGGAGAGAUAGGGAGACACUAGAGUGCAGAGUCAUGGAGAGAUAGGGAGACACUAGAGUGCAGAGUCAUGGAGAGAUAGGGAGACACUAGGUGCAGAGUCAUGGAGAGAUAGGGAGACACUAGAGUGCAGAGUCAUGGAGAGAUAGGGAGACACUAGAGUGCAGAGUCAUGAAGAGAU